ACGCUGGCGGCGUGCCUAAUACAUGCAAGUCGAACGCACAGCGAAAGGUGCUUGCACCUUUCAAGUGAGUGGCGAACGGGUGAGUAAUGUCUGGGAAACUGCCUGAUGGAGGGGGAUAACUACUGGAAACGGUAGCUAAUACCGCAUGACCUCGCAAGAGCCAAGUGGGGGACCUUCGGGCCUCACGCCAUCGGAUGUGCCCAGAUGGGAUUAGCUAGUAGGUGGGGUAAUGGCUCACCCAGGCGACGAUCCCUAGCUGGUCUGAGAGGAUGACCAGCCACACUGGAACUGAGACACGGUCCAGACUCCUACGGGAGGCAGCAGUGGGGAAUAUUGCACAAUGGGCGCAAGCCUGAUGCAGCCAUGCCGCGUGUGUGAAGAAGGCCUUAGGGUUGUAAAGCACUUUCAGCGAGGAGGAAGGGUUCAGUGUUAAUAGCACUGAGCAUUGACGUUACUCGCAGAAGAAGCACCGGCUAACUCCGUGCCAGCAGCCGCGGUAAUACGGAGGGUGCAAGCGUUAAUCGGAAUUACUGGGCGUAAAGCGCACGCAGGCGGUUUGUUAAGUCAGAUGUGAAAUCCCCGAGCUUAACUUGGGAACUGCAUUUGAAACUGGCAAGCUAGAGUCUUGUAGAGGGGGGUAGAAUUCCAGGUGUAGCGGUGAAAUGCGUAGAGAUCUGGAGGAAUACCGGUGGCGAAGGCGGCCCCCUGGACAAAGACUGACGCUCAGGUGCGAAAGCGUGGGGAGCAAAC
rnacentral:rRNA from 1 species